UAGAGAUCUUAUAGGGCAGCAUAAGGGGAGGGUCUAGGGGUACACACAGGCUCAGGAUUGGUGUGCCUCCAGGCUUGCCAUGUGUUGAUUGGUCAACUGGUUGUUAUGGCCCAUAGGCCCUCCCAGGGCGAUUGCUAUGCUCUGUGGUCAUUGCUAUGCACUUGUCCAUAAAGCAUAGCACCAUCAGCUAACUUCUGAUUGGUUCCUUGCCACGAGGCAGGCAUCUGACUUCCUAACGACCAAGGCAAGGUCAUGGUAAGCAGGUGUUAGACUGUCAUGGCUGCCAAAACGGGGAGCUGGUCCCUUCAAGGGCAAGAUGUGGAGGGCUUGGAGAUGAGAGGGAUUCAGUUUUGUGAUAUAAAAUUCCCAAAGAAUCAAUAAAGAACUAUGUUUUUAAAAAUGGCAUUAGCUGUAGUAACCAGUAACAAGUGACCCAACAAAUGACAUCUUGUAUAACCCUGAUGGGUAUCAUUACCUCACAGAUGACAGGGCUCCUGCUAAUAUUUCUGAUUCCUUUGGCCAUUCUCUCAUGAUGGCAAUCUGGUUGCCAUGAUAAUUCUAAACAUCACAUCUGGUAUACUGACAUCUAGAAGAUGAAGCAGGAUGCAACAUGGGACAUACAGUUUUUCUUUGUGUGCUUCCCCCGCUUAAGGAAGAAAAAUGAUUUCCAGAAGUCCUCCGCAGCAUCUCUCUGGCUAGAAGCAAUCCUGAGCUUGUUCUUAGCUGCCAAGAAGUUGCUUCCUGGAGAACUUGUGGAGAGUUAGAGACUACGCGUUGACCAGAGCCAAGCCCAACCCUCCACACCCUCGGUCUUUACAGUGACUUUUGACUCAGCGCUGUCCCACUCCGGGCGUGGGCGUGGCCAGCUCAGCAGAGGCCAGACGCAGAAUCUGGACAGCCUCUGCUGGCUGCCCAAUCUGCUUUGGAAAGCUUAAGGGUGGGGCGAUCCACUGUACUCCCUCCUCCUGGGGCCCUGCCUCUCGGCCCUCCUCUUCCCCCUCAUUCCAUUCCUCCUGCAGUCUCCUCUUUUCCCGAUACCCAGAUGUUUGUUGAAGGGUGUUUAGGACAACAAACUCUAUGGAAUGCAUUAUAAUAACAAGGCGGUUGAAGUUCGGAGGUUGUUUGAGGCCGUUGUAUGGGGCAGGAGUCAGGCUACCUACCGUCUGAAGGAACUGUUAAUUGUGGAUAAACAAGUAAUGGCUUCUAAGAUAAGGCUCAAGUUUUAGAGCCAGCUCUGUUUUCUGAAUGUGUGCCUUUUGCUCAGCGCUGGCCCAUUAGGAAGGGACGGGAGAUCAGAUAGCAAGGCCACAUCCCGAGGAAGACUAGCAUUUCUUCUGCGUCCUAGGAGCUGAAACCACUUGGCUGAUCCUGAAGACUGCAUCACCACUACUGGAAACUAGCUUUAAAAAGUCUCCCCGGUGCAAAGUCAUCUUUUGAAUUUUCUCGCGUCUCCCCCUCCCACCCCCCGCCCCCAGC
rnacentral:lncRNA from 1 species